CAUGCAGUCGAACGGUAACAGGAAGCAGCUUGCUGCUUUGCUGACGAGUGGCGGACGGGUGAGUAAUGUCUGGGAAACUGCCUGAUGGAGGGGGAUAACUACUGGAAACGGUAGCUAAUACCGCAUAACGUCGCAAGACCAAAGAGGGGGACCUUCGGGCCUCUUGCCAUCGGAUGUGCCCAGAUGGGAUUAGCUAGUAGGUGGGGUAACGGCUCACCUAGGCGACGAUCCCUAGCUGGUCUGAGAGGAUGACCAGCCACACUGGAACUGAGACACGGUCCAGACUCCUACGGGAGGCAGCAGUGGGGAAUAUUGCACAAUGGGCGCAAGCCUGAUGCAGCCAUGCCGCGUGUAUGAAGAAGGCCUUCGGGUUGUAAAGUACUUUCAGCGGGGAGGAAGGUGUUGAGGUUAAUAACCUCAGCAAUUGACGUUACCCGCAGAAGAAGCACCGGCUAACUCCGUGCCAGCAGCCGCGGUAAUACGGAGGGUGCAAGCGUUAAUCGGAAUUACUGGGCGUAAAGCGCACGCAGGCGGUCUGUCAAGUCGGAUGUGAAAUCCCCGGGCUCAACCUGGGAACUGCAUUCGAAACUGGCAGGCUAGAGUCUUGUAGAGGGGGGUAGAAUUCCAGGUGUAGCGGUGAAAUGCGUAGAGAUCUGGAGGAAUACCGGUGGCGAAGGCGGCCCCCUGGACAAAGACUGACGCUCAGGUGCGAAAGCGUGGGGAGCAAACAGGAUUAGAUACCCCUGGUAGUCCACGCCGUAAACGAUGUCGACUUGGAGGUUGUGCCCUUGAAGGCGUGGCC
rnacentral:rRNA from 1 species